ensembl:lncRNA
AAAAUGUUGAGGGUGCAAGCACAGUGGGAUUUGGGUUCCCUCCACUGCAAUCCAAUGGACUUUAGACAAAUCACUUUGGGUAUGUCUAUAUUAAGAGAGUGAAGGCUCAAAACACCUCAACAAUUCCUCUGGGGCCUCUCUAGGCCAGGAAGAAGAAGCAAGAGAGAAGUGCAAAGCAAACUUUAGCUCACUGCUGGCGUUUGGGAGUGUAUUUCCUUUUGAUAUAACAUCUCAGGCAGAGUUCUGCAUCAGCAUUUCCAUAUUUUAUGAGCCUCAGACUGUUAUAUCCCCGCAACACCACCCAAGCUCACCUAAUUGGAAUGAAAUCAAAAAUAAAAACCAAAAAACCAUAACCUUUUGAUGUUCCCAAGUGGAAAGUGGUAUAAAAGCCCCCAAGAAAUACCUUGCAUGGCAUGAUAGUCACUGAAUGUUUUUUUUUUCAUACUGAAUGGAAAGAUGGAAUUCCCAAAGGGUAUCAACUGCAACCCAGCACAGCAGAAGUGUAAUUUGUCAAACAACAACACAGUGAAAUAUUUCACAGCUGAAACUAUAUUAACAUGACAGAAUCUGAAGCCAGUUAACACUUCUCAUUAGAAUUUUACUUCAGCAUAACUCUUGAGCAAAAUGCCCUUAGCCCAAACAAACAUGUUUUGUGUUUCUUGAAACACCACAAAUGUUGCCAUCUACCUCCUUUCCCUGUCAUGCUCCCUUCGUGAGAAAAGUUCAAAGCCACAGGUUAAUAUUUGGGUCUCUCUUUGAGUAGCAGAGGUCAAGACAUCUACCAGCCAUGCAUUCCGAAGCAGAACUCUUGCAGUCUACUUGCAGCCAUACAGCGAGUAGCCAGUUUUUCUCUUGGACUGUAAUUACAUCUCUUAGGGAGAUAAAUCAACAUUAAUGCAGGGUCAGGCUAUGACACGGGAACUCAUCAUAACAUACAGUUUGCUCCUAAGUUCAGGUUCUGCGUGACUCAAAUUGAAUAACAAAUAAUAUAUGGAAAGUGGCACGCUGUAUGUAAAAAGCUUGUGAGCUGAAGAAGCAGCUACAUUCACAGCAAAUCUCGAGCACUGUCAGUCAUCCAUUGAGCUCAGCUACUUGGUGUGACAGUCAUUACAAGACGGGAGUUUUACAGGCACUUAAAUGCUGUCCUCAAACAGUUACUUGCUGACAAAUCAACAGUGUGUGGUCAGGGAUCACUCAAAGAAACCAGAAUUUUGCAGCUUGUUUUAUUCAGAACGAGGGUGGUUUCUGCUGUGUUGUUGGUACAUCUUUGCCUUCACCAGGACAGAACAAAGUGUUUCUUGAAGAGAUGAUGAAUCAACAUCAGAGUCUGCCCAAGCAUAAAGGACCAGUGCAAAACACUUUCUGACUUCCUGUGGCACCAACAGAAGAGAGAAAAGUGUCUUAGCAACUGUCUGGAGAAUGGGAACACAGAGCAAAGCCCUGCCUUCAGCUUUCCUGCCCACGCUGCAGUACCUGG